rnacentral:lncRNA from 1 species
AACUUUUUCCGAAAUCUUGGCUUUUCUAAUGCCGAAAUAGCCGCUUCUGUCCGAAACGCGCCCCAAAUUCUCUUUGCCGAUGUAGAAACGAAGCUUAGGCCAAAAAUCAAGUUUUUUCAAGAUCUGGGUUUUGUGGGACCUCACCUGGGUAAGUUCCUUUCCAGGAAUUCUGCGCUUUUAGCUUGUAGUUUAGACAAAAAGUUGAUUCCUUCUUUCCAAAUUGUCAAGAAAGUUUUAGGGAAUAAUGAUAAUAAGGACCUGAUUAAGGUCUUCAAUAGAAGUAAUGGUUUUAUUGCCAGAGAUUGCAUAUUAAAGUUGUCGAGAAACGUUGGGUAUUUGGAGAGCUGUGGGAUUGUUGGGUCUCAGCUCUCAAAGUUAUUAAAGAGACAACCUAGGAUUUUCAGAAUGCGAGAAUCUGCAUUAAGGGACCUCGUUUCAAGGGUUUUAGAUAUGGGGUUUUCAACUGAUUCAAGGAUGUUAGUAUAUGCUAUUCAUACCAUGAAUUGCUUGAGUGAACAAACAUUUAAGAAGAAAUGGGAAUUACUUCAGAGUUUUGGUUUUUCGGAAAAUGAAAGGGUGGAUAUGUUUAGGAAGGCCCCAGGUUUGCUUAGGACCUCUGAGGAGAAAAUGAAGUUAGGAAUUGCGUUCUUUACGAAUGUAGCAAAGUUUGAUAAGAAUGUGUUGGUUUCUAGACCACGUCUGUUGAUGAAUAGCUUGGAAGAUCGAGUGAUUCCUCGAUACAGAGUUUUGCAGAUUAUCAAGUCAAAGAAGUUGUUGAAGAAGGAGCUGAGUUUUCUUAACAUUUUGGACUAUACGGAGAAUGAAUUCUUGAAGUUUAUCUCAAGGUUUACAGAUAAUGUGGAGGAACUGUUGAUAGCUUACAAGGCUCAUCUUUUGCACACUUCAGAAGAAGAAGAAGAAAAAACAUGUUAGAAGCCUGUUUUUGUUUAACUUGGUUUCACUUUGACUUGCACCAAUCUCAAUUAACAAAGUCCAGUUUUGAGCCUACAUGUUGAUUCAAUCAGAAAUUAGGCAUGUGACAGGUUCUGAGUUUGUUAUUUGACAAGAUAGGAAAUAUCAAUAGAAAUAUUUAAGAUGCCCAUUUAUGUUUUAUGGAACUUGAGGGAUCAAUCACUGUGAUGGUCUCCAAGUAGGCUACAGGGUUCAGUUUCUCAUGCAAGCUGGAUGGCUGUGACAAAGAGAUUUGCUACAAGAGGAAGCUGAUCAAUGAGGAUACACAUUUGAUUCUUUUUUUUUUGCAGGCAAUUCUGAAAUUGUAACUUUUUGAAUGCACAGUCUUCAAAACUGUAGGAUUCUUUUUUCAAAGGAAGUGUUUAUAAACUCGGUUUUUGGGGCUGCAGCACAUGAUCUGAUCUGGCAGAGACUGUCGUGAAGGCCUAAGAACUGUUACAAGAUGUUGGCGAGUUGAUGGUAUCUGUUAAGGGCUAAGUGAAACAGAUUGAUUGAUGUUCCGGGAUAAGAAUUCAAAGAUAGUUGGCCUUAAUUUUUGCUUCUUGGUAAGAUAUUUUGACUUAGUUUCUCUUCAUCAUGAUUACCUGACUUGGGCCAGCUACAUUUGGAUUGAUACUUGCUGCAUAUUAGGACUGAGAUGGACAAGUAUGUGAAAUUAAGGUUUAGCUAUUGCAUUGGGACUCAGAUGGAGGUGGUUCAAUGGUAGGCCUUCUUGCCAGAGCUAUACUGUUAAACCUCUUAAUGUAGUAUCGGGGGCUUAAAUUUGGGCCUCUGGGAACUUUAAGGUAAGGCCAACUAUUACCAAAAGCACCUCAAAUGGCUUCAUUUAUGUAACAUUUUGAAUUGUAAUUUAUUUCAUUUUUUUACUUCUCUUCCAUUAUUUACAACAGCAUAUCUCAAAGUCAGUGCACUCGCUACUGGUGGUAGAUUUGCAAUAUUCAUGCAUUCAUCAGUAGUGCAGGUUGGAAUAGGGUCGGAAAUAUUUGUACAUUGCCCAAAAAACUGUGUAAAAGAGAGAAAGUACUCUUAUGGUUAUGGAAGGACUGUUAUAUCAAUAAGAAUCUACCUUAGGCUUGGUCUAGUUGCCAUUACCCCUUCCAAGCUUGCUAGCUAGCUACAAAAGUAAAAGAUUCAAUCAACAAACAAGCAAAAAUAGUUAGCAUAGAAACGGAUAUAGAAGUUAAUCCAAGAAUUUCAUGUGCAAGAGACCCAAAUUACCCAGUCCAUCAUCAUACAUUAUCGUUGGGUCUAAUACAAUAAAGUCAGCAUUUGUAAGAAACUUUAGUUAAUUUUGCUUAGAAAAACUUUGUGAUUCAUAAUCGAACUCAACUUGUGAAAAUAAUGAAUGCUACCCCAAACUAAUUGACAUAACAUAAAUUUCGAAAUACAAAAUCCACCCUUGAAAAGUUCUAUUCCCUGAUGGUCCGUCGCUGCUUUUAUGGCCUCCUGCUCAGAACGUCGUCGUUACAUAUGCGAGAGACUAUUUAAAUCUGCAAUACCGCAUGACCGAAGUUGAAUUUUAAACCCUAAACCCUGUGCACAAAAUUCCUCAAAAAGCACAAUGCAAGUACUGAAAUCAUCUUCCGUUUUCUCAACUCCCCAUUUCCUCCAUUUCCCCUCCAAACCCAAAUCAUUUAUUUUUCUUCUCUACUAUUCUUCUUCUUCCACCUCAGUUUCAAAUUCUCCCCUUCUCAAUUACCUUGUAAAAAACUUGGAUUUCACUGAAACUCAAGCGCUUUUAAUCGCUAAACGCUACCCCAACGUGAAAUCCUUGGAAAGGCCCCAAUCUGUUGCCAACUUUUUCCAAAAUCUUGGUUUUUCUAAUCCCCAAAUAGCCGCUUCUGUCCGGCACGCGCCCCAAAUUCUCUUUGCGGAUGUAGAAACGAAGCUUAGGCCAAAAAUCAAGUUUUUUCAAGAUCUGGGUCUUGUGGGACCUCACCUGGGUAAGUUCCUUUCCAGGAAUUCUGCGCUUUUAGCUUGUAGUUUAGACAAAAAGUUG